CGCGGAGUCUGACAAGAAGGAGGUGGAAAGAGAAGUCAAGAACAGCAACCAGAGCAGCUCUGAUGCACACUGAGGCAGGUUUUUAUCAUGAAAAAGCCCGAUUUUAAUCACAGCAGUCUCCAGUAAAUCGGUCACAAAGGGCGUUGGCUGGACAGGAGCAGGUCUGAGCACAGAACGGACCAAAGCGUCCUGGACCGCAGGCUGGAAAACACAACGUAUAAAUCACAUCUGUGCAGGUGACUCCCCAGAAACCUGGACGACAAACACAAGCUCCAGUUUCCCUCAGACACGUGUCGCUGUUGGGGCAAUGCUUGAAGCAGGUCUGGUUACAGUGGCGCCCCCACAGGCCGUCCGAACACGGCUCGCUGCAGCGCGGACCUGGACCCAAAGAAGCAUCACAGCGCGGUGCAGCGAGAAUAAAAGCGAAGGAGGAUGCUUUAAAACCUGUGGCUCCCUCAGUCCUGCUGGACCAGACUUAUCUGUGAUACCCAAGCCAAGCUGGCAGCGACAGCAGCAGGACGUCAUCACUUACCCCACCAGCCUGGCAGACAGCGACACUCCCCGGUGGCAGCUUGGCAGCCGUCGGCAUGAACACAGUCGCACCUCUUCAGGCAGCCAGGCCCAAACGUGCCCAUCUGCACAGUGAACAAGAGCCAACGAGCAAAGAAUCGUCAGGGGAAUCUCUUCAGUGCUCGGCCAGCUCGGUCAGAGUCUGACAAAAUACUACACUGGCAGCGUGUUGCUGUGUGGACAGCCUGGUGUGUUGGCGUGGACGAGGACAAGAGGGCGACGGAUCCAAAACGCAGAUUAAAACAUACAGAGUUUGAGGUGACGGAAGAGAAGCUGCAGUCAGAGCUGACGUCCUGUAAAUUUAUCACAUCGUGAUUUGUGUUGUAGCUUCACAUUUCAUUUGUCUCCUCAACUUGAUAUGAAACAAAAACAACAAUAGUGCAUUUGUCUAAUCUUCUAAAGAUAGUGAUGUUUGUAUUUACUUCUUUUACAAGGUGACAUCUGUUUCCAUGCAGUGCAGUGGCUGCAGUCCAGCAGUUAAAGUGAGAGCAGAUUAACACAUAAAACGGCUAUUUUGCAUUAUGUUUAUCAUAUUUUACACUGUAAAUUUAUAUGUAGCAUAUUAUAUCCAAUCUAUAUAUAGUUUCCUGCUUACAUUCAUGUGUAAUAUUGUAUUUCCAGGUGCAAUAUUUCAUUUCCCUGUGCAAUGUUUUAAUAUAAGUGCAAAAUUGUAUUUUCACUUGCAAUAUUUUAUUUAAAUAGGAAAUAUUUCAAUAUAUGUGCAACAUUCUAUUUAUAUGUGCAAUGUUUACUUAUAAUGUGCAAUAUUUCAUUUCCAUGUAGAAAAUAAAAUUUUCAUGUGAAUGCUACAUUUUAUUUAAAUAUGUAAUAUUUCAGUAUAUGUAGAAUGUUUUCAUGAUAUUGUUUUCAAAUUCAUGUGCAAUAUUUUAAUUUCAGAUGGAAUAUUUCAUUCUAAUGUGCAAUAUUUCAUUUAAUUGUUUCAUAAUAUAGUAAUAUUUCAAUGUCUGUGCAAUAUUUCACUUUCCAUAAUAUACGUAAAUGUUACAGCUUUUUUAUUAGACACUGCAUUCAUUCUCAUGUUCUGUUUUUUUGUCUCACUAACAUUUGGCACAAGAAUUUCCUUCAAGAUUAAUAAAGUUUUUGUCGUAUUUUGCCUUAUCUUGUAUAUUCUCAAGCAUCUUGAGCACAAAAAUUGCCCAGUCAAGAGCUAAUUUGACCUUUUAUUUAUUGUAUGGACUGACACUUUUUGUUGUUGUUGUUGUUUUGUUCCAUACACUAAACUACACUCACAGUGAUGUAAGGAAUGUAACAGAUUUUUGUUAAGAUCCCUGUUGGAGAUUAUUGUAUCAUCCAAAACAGUCAUAAAGCAUCACUAAAAGCAUUGUGUGUA